UAUGACCGUAUCACGUUGAAACACCGGUUCCCGUACGAUCAGCGAAGUUAAGUAUCGUUGAUCCAUAUCAGUAAUGAGAUGGGUGACCAGGUG